AGGGCAUGACAAGGAAGAUGGCAUCAAAGGUCUCAUAAAUGGGAUUGAAGGAGAAGGAGAAAGGGAUGAAAAUUAUGGGGAGGAGGGGAUGGCUUGGAGGAAAAAGAUGAAGAGGAAGGGGAGGAGGAGAGAGGGGAUGGCUUAUGGGCGACUUGGAGGAGGAAGGAAAGGAGGGUGAGAAGUGAGUGAGAAGGAAAGAGAGAAGAGG
rnacentral:lncRNA from 1 species